GCAGCACCUCUUCUUUCUUAAUUUCACGCUUCUGAAAGAAAAGGAAAACAAACUCAGGAGAACAAACUUCCCCCUUUUGGGACAACAACAACAACAACUCGAAUCUCUCUCUCGGUUUCUCUCGAUGGUGAAUCCGCAACAACAACAGCAAGAAACCCCUCUCUCGAUUUUUUCUAUUUCUUUCUCGAGUUGGAUCUCAACGUGAACAACAACAACUCGGUUUCUCUCUCUGCGAAGUAACAACAAACAGCAACCUCUCAGUUCUUCCCUUAUCAUGAUGAACAAUUUUCGGCCAUGGAAGGAGAAACAAGGAUGAAAACCUAGAAACAAUACCGUCCAUCUCUCACUCGGUUACGUUCUUCCCGUAAACAACAACUUCUGGUUCAUGUUAUUGCAGACAAACUCAGAUGAUAAGCAAGAAUAUAUUUGCAGCAACUAUUAUCAAUAAUUUUGAGAGUGAAGGUGAAAUCGACUUACUUGCGGCAAGGAGAUUUUUGCCGGUUAUCAUUGAGCUAUGCACAAGAAUAUCAUUAACAUAUUUGCAGCAAUGAUUUAA